rnacentral:lncRNA from 1 species
CGCCGUGCCGGAGGCUCCAGUCCGAUCGCAGCAUCACUUGCGGUGCUUUCGCGCGCGCGAAUCUCUCUGUCUCUCUUUAUCCGUCAGUCCAACUAUACAACGGAAACACACGGCUAUUUCUUUUCCCCCCUUUUACUUCCCCGUUAUAUCAUCUACCCGCGGAGACACGUGAAACGUUUUUCCUUUUGUUUUUUGUUCGUCUAAAUCAUCCCUUUUUUUUUAUCUCCCCGCCCUCCGAGGUUUUUUAUUUUUUUUUCUUCUGUCCACACUUUUUUUUUAUUUUCCUCACACUACUCACAACACCACUACUAUUUUCUUUCUUUUUUUCUUUCUUUCUUUCUUUCUCUCUUUUCUCUUCUUCCGCUUUUCGCAAAGAGUCUGAGCUCGAGCUUGAACGAAAGAGGGAGAGGGAGAGAGAGAGAGAGAGCGAACAACAAAUAAGAGGAUAAAACGCGCGUGUUACGAUAAGAGAGAGAAAGAAGAAGAACGGUCAAAAAAAAAAGGAAAAGAAAAAAAAGAGUUAACGUAUGAAACAACAACAACAAUAUCAACAACACAACAACAACGUUCGUAGUAGUAUCGGAAGAUAUAAUAAGCGUGUUAAGUGCAACAGAUAAGAUAAAAAGAAGAGAAAUAUAAUGAUGGGAAGCAAAGUGUUAUUGGAGUAUCAAUAUCAUCAUAGACGUGAACGACGUGGGAUCGUACGAUCGGAUGUUUCUUCUUCGCGCCGAAAUUCGCGAGGUGUUACGACGAGAACGACGUGGGUUGUUAGCCGAUAAAAUAAUCCCUUAUUUUCAUCCCCCUACAUUUUCUUUCUUUCUUUAUACAUAAAUAUCGUAUUCCACGCCUUCCAUUCUGACACUUUGUCAUAACAUUUCCAUCAAUGAAAUUCUGGGGUCUCGGUCUCAUUUAGAUCCCACCGUCGGAUUGUAUCAACCAACGGAAAAAAAUCCCGUUAUAAACUUGUUCGAUUUACUACAAACCUACCCCUUACCAAUACAACCCUCCCCUUCCACCCCUUUCCUCUUCUAUAAAAAGCAGUUUUAUUGUUUGGUGUUAUCGAGUGCGUUGCUACGUGAAAUUAACAGGAAUUUGUUUCCGCCCCAACCUCCCACAACUCACCCCUCUUCACUGUUUCAUGGAAAGAGGAAAUAAGUGAACUUAUUUGUGUGUAUUUCGAUCAUUUUUGUUUAUUAUCCACAUUUUAACAAGAUUCGAGCGCAUUUAAUAAAGGAAAAUAGUUCGUGUUACAACUGUGUCGGGACUAAUUUUAUCGAUUUUAUCUAUUGAAAUAAUCAAAACAGUGUCGGUCGCGUAUAUCGAUCUGAUCUGAUCGAUCGAUCAUCGAUCGUGAAACAUUUUGCGUGAAGAGUGUAUUAUUACGAUACAAUAAUGAUAAGAAAAUAAAUGAUUAGUCGACGUUAAUGGGAUAAAAAUUACGUAUGGUUGGUUGCGUGUGAAGAAGACGAGAGUUGCAUCUAACAACAACGUUGUGUUAGUAAGAAAAAAAAAAAACGAUUUCAAGGAGGAUUCACCAGAAGCUCUUCUGUUGCUCGUGUUCUUGCAAGCUCAACCGGGGGGGAUUUAGUGAAUUAAAGGGCUACAGUGCUUUGAUAAAAGUGAAUGGAUAUUUCUUGCAUAUCAAGUGACACACGUUGUAUUUUUAACAACAACAACAACAACAACAUCAUAGUUGCAUCGUUCUCGCGCCACUUUCAUCAUUCACGUUGAAUCUUCUUUUGUGUUUUCCGGCUGAAAUCGAGAAAUUCGAAGAUAAAAA